rnacentral:rRNA from 1 species
UACGGAGGAUGCGAGCGUUAUCCGGAUUUAUUGGGUUUAAAGGGAGCGUAGGCGGAUUUUUAAGUGAGAUGUGAAAUACUCGGGCUCAACUUGAGUGCUGCAUUUCAAACUGGAAGUCUAGAGUGCAGGAGAGGAGAAUGGAAUUCCUAGUGUAGCGGUGAAAUGCGUAGAGAUUAGGAAGAACACCAGUGGCGAAGGCGAUUCUCUGGACUGUAACUGACGCUGAGGCUCGAAAGCGUGGGGAGCAAACAGG